rfam:Pelecanus crispus contig26019, whole genome shotgun sequence.
GCGGGUUAGCUCAGUUGGUUGGAGCAUGGUGCUAAUAAUGCCAAAGUCACAGGUUCAAUCCCUGCUUACUGCA